rnacentral:rRNA from 1 species
GACAGAGGUGCCGAGCGUUAGGCGGAAUCACUGGGCUUAAAGCGUGUGUAGGCGGGCGGGCAAGUACCUUGUGAAAUCCCACGGCUCAACCGUGGAACGGCUGGGUAUACUGCCUGUCUUGAGCCACUUAGGGGCAACCGGAACAAACGGUGGAGCGGUGAAAUGCGUAGAUAUCGUUUGGAACGCCAAUGGUGAAAACAGGUUGCUGGGAGUGUGCUGACGCUGAGACACGAAAGCCAGGGGAGCAAACGGG